CACCCUCCCCUUGUCCAAUUCCGACUCCUCCCUGGUGGGGGUGCGCCACCCCUUUGUGGGCUGGUAUGCCUCCCUCCUAUUGCCCAUAUCUUUCCCCGGGGGCUUCUGGUAACCCCUCCGGUACUCCGAUAUGUACCCGAUACAUUUCGGAACCCUUUCGGUGUCUGAAUACUACCUUUCAAUAUAUCAAUCUUUACCUCUUGAUCAUUUCGAGACUCCUUGUCAUGUCUGUGAUCUCAUAUGAGGCUCCGAACAACCUUCGGUCACCAAAACACAUAACUCAUAUAAUACAUAUCAUCAUUGAACGUUAAGCGUGCGGACCCUACGGGUUUGAGAACUAUGUAGACAUGACCGAGACACCUCUCCAGUCAAUAACCAAUAGCGGAACCUGGAUGCUCAUAUUGGUUCCCACAUAUUCUACGAAGAUCUGUAUCGGUCGAACCGCCAUGUCAACAUAUGUUAUUCCCUUUUUCAUCGGUAUGUUACUUGCCCAAGAUUCGAACGUCGGUAUCUUCAUACCUAGUUCAAUGUCAUUACCGUCAAGUCUCUUUACUCGUUCCGUAAUGCAUCAUCCCGCAACUAACUCAUUAGUCACAUUGCUUGCAAGGCUUCAUAUGAUGUGCAUUACCGAGAGGGCCCGGAGAAACCUCUCCAAUACUCGGAGUGACAAAUCCUAAUCUCGAUCUAUGCCAACCCAACAAACACCUUUGGAGAUACCUAUAGAGCAUCUUUAUAAUCACCUAGUUAUGUUGUUAUGUUUGAUAGCACAAAAGGCAUUCCUCCGGUGUCCGGGGGUUGCAUAAUCUCAGGAAUAUGUAUUUGACAUGAAAAAAUUAGUAGCAAUAAAAUUGAAUGAUCAUUAUGCUAAGCUAACGGAUGGGUCUUGUCCAUCACAUCAUUCUACUAAUGAUGCGAUCCCAUUCAUCAAAUGACAACACAUGUAGAUGUCUAGGAAACUUAACCAUCUUUGAUCAACGAGCUAGUCUAGUAGAGGCAUACUAGGGAUACGGUGUUUUGUCUAUGUAUUCACACAUGUAUCAAGUUUCCGGUUAAUAAAAUUGUAGCAUGAAUAUCAAACAUUUAUCAUGAAUAAGGAAAUAUAAAAUAACAAUUUUAUUAUUUCCUCUAGCGAAUAUUUCCUUCAAUCUGUUAUUGCUGAUCAGUUGGAGGAUGCGAAACAUUCGGUGUUUCACGAGUGGGAGAAGCUUGGGGUUCAGAGUGAUGGAUUUUGCCUUUUUCAUAAACAACUCGCUGAGGUGGAAUAUCAGCUCUAAUAGGGGAGGCCAAGGCACUGGUUCAGUUGGCCUUGGGGAGGAGGUGCAUCAGUGACUUGAACAGUGGGUUGCGAAGGAAUUGUUGGCUCAGGAGAUUUUCCUUUUUGAGGCUGAGCUUUAGCAUGAUCAGUUGACAUUUCUGUCAUAGCAGGAGGAGCAUUUUCUUCGUAGUUUCUUUUGCCUCUUUUGUAUCUACUGAGCAGUUUGAUCAAUGUGUCCCUUGACAAGAUCAUUAUAGCCAGUGGCUUAUGCUCGAUGCUCAAGGCAGAUCUUUUGAACAAUAUCAUCAAGAUUCGAGUGAAAACCCAAUCUUCUGCUUCGGAGGAUAUUCAAAGCCCGAUUAAUACCCAUGUAAGAUUCUUCAAGUUGUUUGAUGACAAACUUGGAAGAUGUGGUUUUCAUUCGAUCGUCAAGGUCAUUGAGUUCGGCAGUGAGAACAGAAUCUUCUCUCAUGUCUCGAACAACAUCAGAUGCUUGAGCAAUAACUUCAGAAGGAAUUAGCAAAGAUGCCACUUCACCAUCAAAUGAAUUUUCCACGAACUUGUCAAGCUGCUCCAUGAUGAAUACAUGAUUGUAAUAAUGUGGAGCAUCAGAAUGGACUUCAGUCUGUGCAACUGGAGCAUUUUGCACGGGAACUUGCUCAGAUGGUGGCUAGAAGCCAAUGGUUGAGCCAAAGUAGGAGCAACCUUCGCAGCCUUUUCCUUCGGUGCAGCAUCUUGAGGAGCAGUUUGCUCGGUGGUUGGUGCCUUGAUUUUCUUCAUCUUUGGCUUUGGAAUUGUUUCGCCUGGCUUGGCACUGCCAAUUGGAGCAUCAACUACCAAAUCCUUCAAGUUUAUUUCCUCGGGAUGGGGAGUUGGUUUCACAGAAUCCUUCAUGGUAAUAGUAGUAGGUGGAGUCUUUCUUUUCAAAAUGAUCUUCUUCGGAGGUGCUAUUGGAGCAGUAUGAGCAUGGAGAUCAGGUAGCACUGUAGAGGUUGUGAUGUUCACUUGAUCAUUGAGAGUAGGAUCAAUUUACUCUCUUGCUGGUGGUGGAUCAUCCUUAUCGAAAGAAUUGCUUUUGGCAUUACUGUCGGUUGGUUCAGCCAGCCUUUUCUUCAUUGCACUCUUUUUCUUCAAUGCAGCAGUGCUAGGAUCAUGUUUGCGCUUAGAACGUCCUUCUGAUUUUCCUUCGGCCUUUUUCUUCUCAACUUCAUAUUUGAGAAGACGACGAUUUUCUUCUUCACGAGCUCUUUCUUUUUCUGCCCUUGGCUCUCUUGAGGGCAUUCAUAUGACGCUUUGCCAGUUCAUCAGGAUAGGAUUUGGGAGUGCGAGGGGAGGACUUAUCAACAUUUGGUGGUGGCGGCAGUCUCUCUUGGGGAUCAGCAGCACGAAUGAGACCAAUUUCACGGCAGUCAUCCCAUGGAGGAUGAAAGGCAAACUUCUUCGCAAGCCAAGGAUGAAUCAUUUCAUAGUUGAACCACUUGCGCACCCAGUGGCGUCGAAUCCUUUGCAGGCGCUUGUCUCUUUCACGUUUUGACUCUCUUGGAAUAGUUUUGUAAUUACCAUGACAGAUGUAUUCAGCUAAAUUUGCAUAUGGUUGUCUGCCAUCCUUCUUUUUCUUCGGAGCAUCUUCUUCUUGCUUGUCAGCACUGGGUGCAUUUCUUUUUCUCUUGCCAGUUGUUGGGCCUGCCGCUGGUCCCUUUGCAUCGGUGCUUUUGACUCAUCUAUUGUACCCAAAAGAAUAUCUUCUCCAUCAUCCAUGCUCAUUGACCAAGCAGAAUCUUCAACAGUACAUAGACCUGUGAAAAAGAAUAGAUGCGAGGCAGAACAGAGACAGGGUCACAAAUGUUCACAGCGAAGAUUUUUUGAACAAAAACGUUUUGCUGAAGGAUUAGAUGCAGAAUUCAAGAAAUGUUUCAAAUGAAAGAAAUGUAUAGGACGAGAUAGAUUGUGUCCGAAGAGUAUACUAGUCAGCAUGCUAUGCAUUCCAUUCGAACGAGACAUAACACAAACCCUAGAUCUGAUUUUUUUGGAUGCGAGGGACAACUACAAACCACAUCCGCACAAUAUACCUAAGUAGUAAAGAUCUAAGAUAUGCGGUAAAAAUGAAAAAAAAUAACCUUGGAUGAACUCAAAAUGAGAAGAACAGAAGACCGAGUUCGCACUACACAUACCCUAGCUUGGUGACGUGCAGUAGCUACGGCGGCCCGGGAAAGAAGAUGUCCCACGACGGCGAGGAAGGACUCCGGCGACCACUUUCCGGCAGUGAAGCAGCAAAGGGAUCGUUGGCGUCGAGCACAAGGAGGAGCGUUGUGAUAGGGCUUUGGAGGAGAUGGUGGCGAGGAGGAAGAGAAGCGGAUGAGGGAGCGGAGGUGCUGCUGUAUUUAUAUGCGAGAGAAAAUAACCGUGGCUAGUGAAUCCGAUCGAACGGCCACUAUCAUGAGACGAUUGCUAUUCAACGGACAGGAUGGGGUGGCAAUUGAUGGAUUGCAAGUGACAACCGUCAUAAAAGAUCGUGGUCCUGACUUGGCCGCAAAACCCCCAAAUUUUGGAUAGCUUUCGCCAAAAUAGAUUAAAGUUCAGACCUAAUCUUUACCGUGAUCAAGGACACCUGAUAAAGUUUUGGUACCAAAUGAAAUUGAGCAUUCAUAACGGAAAAAUAUAGAUUAGAAGAGAUAGAACAGAGGGAAAACGGGGUCCUAGGAAUUUCACUCAAUCAACGAAACACAAACACCCGAAAGAAUAGCUAUGAGAGAAAUGCAUUCGGACAAACACAAAACUUUUGAUCGAACAGAAACUCAAUGAAAGAAAGUUGUGGUGGUGUGACCCACCGUAUAAGAACUGUAUGACCUUGAGCAUCGCACAAUUAUCGUGGAACCCGGUUAGUCUAGUUCUUCGUUGAUGUAUUCACUCUCAGAAAGAAAAUUUCACUUUGUCAAAGUUUUCAAACCCUUCGAGUGUUGUGCACCCAUUCCUUCUAAGAUGUGAAAGUGUUGGCACGGGUGCCGAGUCAAGCUUACCACCUGUUUGCAUAGUCCAGGAUAUUUAGGUCACAUUGUAACGCAUAGAAUCUUUUCUCAUCGAGAUGCUUGGUGAAAAUAUCUACGAGAUUGUCUUCGGUCUUGACGUGAUUGAUGUCAAUAUCCUCUCGAGCAACAUGAUCACGAAUGAAAUGAUGUCUGGUGGCAGUAUGCUUGGUGCGAGAAUGCCGCACUGGGUUGUGUGCAAUUUUGAUAGCACUCUCAUAGUCACAAUAUAGAUGAAUCUUCUUGAUCUUGAUGCCAUAAUCCUUUAGAGUCUGCUUCAUCCACAAUAACUGAGUGCAACAAGCGCCAGUAGCAAUGUAUUCGGCCUCAACCGUAGAGAGAGACACACAAUUCUGCUUCCUUGAUGACCAACAUACCAAUGAUCUACCGAGGAUAAUCUAAGUCUGAUUAGCCAACGAGAUGAAACUGUGCUCCCUUAGGGUACCAUAAGCCUAAGGUGGGGGUGUGAGCCAAAUAUCUCAAAAUAUGCUUGACCGCCUAGUGGUGCAAUUCUUUUGGUGCAGCUUGAUAGCGGGCACACAUGCAAACACUCAACAUAAUAUCAGGUCUGAAUAGAACCAAUCAUAGAACGAUACGCCUUCUGAUCGUAAUCCUUACCGUACACAUCUGCGUCUAUCUUACCAUUCAUGGGCAUUGGAGUUUUGUAGCCCUUCAUUUUGGAAUCUUGCAUUUUGAACUUCUUCAGACACUCUCUCAGAUAUUUCUCCUGAGAUAUGAAAAUUCCAUUUGCUUGUUGACAUAUUUGCAGGCCGAGAAAGAACUUAAGUUCACCCAUCAUUGACAUUUGAUAUUUUUUGGACAUAUUUUUUCCAAACUCUAAGUUGCAAGCAUUGUUAGUACAGUCGAAGAUAAUAUCAUCCACAUAAAUUUGACACAUGAAUAGUUCAUUAUCAAUAGCACGAGUGAAAAGUGUGGGAUCAGUGGAUCCUGUCUUGAACCUUUUUUCGAGCAGAAACUUCUUCAAGGUGUCAUGCCAUGCUCUAGGGGCUUGCUUCAGCCCAUAAAGAGCCUUUUUCAACCUGAAAACUAUGUUAGGAACUCAGGGUAUUCAAGGCCAGGUGGUUGUCUAACAUAAACUUCCUCAUCAAUUUCACCAUUGAGGAAAGCAUUUUUCACAUCCAUUUGCUAAAGCAAGAUAUCAUUGAAAUUUGCAUAAGCGAGAAGAAUACAAAUUGCUUCAAGGCAUGCAACAUGAGCAUAAGUUUCACUGAAAUCAAUAUCUUCUACCUAUUAUACCGUUGAGCGACAAGACCUGCUUUGUUUCUCACAACAAUGUCAUUUUCAUCUUGCUUGUUUCGGAAUAUCCAUUUGGUGCCGAUGAUAUUAUGCUUCUUAGGAUUCAGAUUGUCGACCAAUUCCCAAACAUCAUUCAAUUUGAAUUGCACCAACUCCUCUUGCAUAGAAUUCAUCCAAUCUAGAUCAUUCAUGGCUUCCUCAUACUUGGUAGGUUCUGCCAAUGAAACAAAGGAGAAACUGCCACAAUAGUUAGCCAAACAAGUGCGUGAACGAGUUAUGGGUCGAUAACCUGGAUUCUCGAGUUCAUCAAGAAUUAAUGAAGGAUCAACUUGAUUAGCCACUCGAGGAUGAGGAUUUUCAUCUUGAUGAUCAUUAUCACUUUCAUCAGCAUCAACAUUUGUAUCGCCAUUCCCUUCAGGAUUGCCAUUUUGCUCGGCAUUUGGAUUUAGGUUGCCAUUAGUAUUUGGAGUGGCAUUUGCUUCGGCAGUGGCUUGGCGAGUUCUGCUUCGAGUCAUAGGAGCAUCAUCAUAGAAAGAGUCAGGUGCAUUUUCUUCAACAGGCUUGACGCUCCAAAUAGCCAUUUGCCGAAUAGCAUCCGAGAUCCAUGGUUUAUCUAUCACAUUUGGCAGGUGCUCCUUUUGGGAGCCAUUAGAUUCAUCAAACCGCACAUUUACCGUUUCCAUAACUUUCCCGUGGUGAGAGUUAUAGACACGAUAAGUAUGCGAGUUCGAUCCAUAACCAAGAAGAAAACCUUCAUGUGCCUUAGGUGCAAACUUGGAAGAAUGAUUCAUAUCACGAAUUUAACAAGGUGCACCAAAAACACGUAAAUAAGAAACAUUUAGUUUCUUGCUAGUGAUAAGCUCAUAUGAGGUUUUCUUAAGGAACUUGUGUAGAUAAACACGGUUGAUAACAUGACAAGCAGUAUUAAUAGCAUCAGCCCAGAAGCGAAUAGGAGUUUUAUACUCACUGAGCAUUGUUCUUGCAAUUUUGAUGAGAGUUCUAUUCUUUCGUUAAACACCUCCAUUCUGUUGGGGAGUGUAAGUGACAAAGAACUCAUGAGUAGUACCAUUUUCGUCGAGAAAAUCAUUGAUAUGAGUAUUUUUGAACUCAUUCCCAUUGUCACUUCUGACAUGCUUAAUUCGCACAUCAUAUUCAUUCUAGGCUUUCUUAGCAAAGCUUUUGAAGAUAUCUUGGGUGCAGGUUUUGUCUUCGAGAAAGAAUACCCAAGUGUAGCGAGAGAAAUCAUCAAAAAUGACGGGGCCAUAAUGACUGCCACCGAAACUUGCAUAGUUUUGAGGACCAAAUAAAUCCAUAUGAAGAAUUUCCAGAGGUCUUGUUGUGGUCAUAAUUGUCUUUGAUGAAUGAUGCUUCUUGGCCAGUUUACCAGCCUCACAUGUAGCACAGAGACGAUCCUUGUCGAAUUUCACAUCAGGAAUGCCAUGGAGAUGAUUUUUCUUCACCAAAGUCUGCAAAUUUCUCAUACCUGCAUGACCAAGUCUUUGGUGCCACAACCAACCUUCGGUUGCUUUUGCAAGCAAACAAGUUUGGACUGAGGGACCCUUAGAGAAGUCCAUAAUAUAUAGAUCACCUUUUCUAAUUCCCUGGAAGACAAAGGAAUUGUCAGAGGCCAUGAAAACAAUGCAUUUGGAUAUGGAAAAUAAAACUAGCAUGCCUAGAUCACAUAGCUUGCCAACUAACAUAAGAUUGAAUCCAAGAGACUAAACAAGUAAAAAAUCAUCAAUAGACUUCUCUUUGGAUAUGGCAAUUUUACCUGGCCCAAUUACCUUUCCUUUAAUGUUGUCUCCAAAAGUGAUAUACUUUAGAGGUGAAGCAGUUAAGUUGGGGUCGACAAACAACGAAUUGUCUCCGGUCAUAUGACUAGUGCAUCCACUAUCCACUAUCCAUUAUCCAUUUUGUAAACCCAAAGACAUAGUCCUGUAGAAGAAUUAGGUUUUCUUAACCACCCACAUCUUUGCAGGUGGCUUCAAAAAAAUGAGUAAACAGGAUAUGAUUUCUUUCGGUAACCAUAGUUGUUACUCGAUGAGGUGCGAGCAUAAUCAAAGGAAUACACAUUGAAAUUCUUUCCAGAUGAAUGGGUAUAGUGAUUGAAUGAGGCAUGCAUGUACUCAUUCUGUUGAACUUUUUCAAGGAAGUAACGAGCAUUUUGAUCAUUCAUGGUUAGUAAUGUGGUAACAGGUAAUGCUUCAAUAGUUUCUUAGGCACCCAUAUGGCUUUCUUUGGGGGGGGGGCAUUCCUGCUAUUCGGUCCAACAUAGCGAGCAACAACCUCACCAUAUUGGUUUUUGAACAACUUGUAGUUGUCCAGAGAAUCAUCAUUAGGAUAUUCAGGGUGGGAGAGUUAUAUCCCGAAAGCAAAGAUGGAUCGAGCGUUUUGCUUUUGGCAGGCACCCAUACAACGCGAGGAUAUUGAUCAGAUUCCCAGUAGGAGCCAUUUUCUUUCAGCUUGCUUUCAAAACCAAUGCCUUCUUUCCUGGGAUUUUGUGAAGAAUGGAUUUCUUCAAAACAUCACAAAGGGUUUGAUGCCCUUCGAGAGAUUUGAACAUUCUUGUCUGAAGAAGAUCCUUCAACCUAGCAUUUUCAUCAGAAACAGAACCAUUUUCCUCGACAGAGGGGUUAGCAUUCACAGAUGAUUCAGCAUUUGAUUCGGCAUUGGUUCGUUCAAGAUAUUUUAAGCAAGGUGGAACAAAUACUUCAGGUUUCUCUUUAAGUUGUUGGGUGAGAAGAGAAUUUUCUCUGAUCAAAUCCUCAUGAGCCUUUCUCAGCGCCUUGAGUUCAUGUUUCCUUUUUAGGUAAUCAUAGGUCAAUCUUUCAUGGUCAGCUGAGAGAAAAUCAUGAUGAUUUGUCAGUUCUUCUAUUCGUGACUUGAGAGUGGAAUGAUCUUCUGUUAAUGACAGAUUUCUCCAUCUCCUCAACCAACAACCCUUCAGAUUUCCUGAGAGUUUUCUCGAUUUUCUCAAGAGAGUUUUGUUGAAUGUUAGCAAUUUUGAUCAAUUUAGCAUGGUCAUCCUCAUCAGAAGAAUAUUGAUCACUGGAGUGAACCUUGUGGUGUUUGGAGGAUACAUUUCUUUCGAGGCUUUGGCCAUGAAGUAGGAGAUUCAUCAUCGCUUGACGGAUUCCCUAGAAAUUUGUUGUAGGGUAUGAAGCAUAUGCAAUGCCAGCCAUGCCAGAGUCAGAAUCCUCAUCGGCUUCUUAGGAGUCUGAUGAUUCUUCUUCAUCAGAAUCCAUUUCCUUGCUGAUGUACGCCUUGGCCUUGCGAGAGUUAUUCUUGUGGUUGGAGGAGGACUUGGAAGGAUUCAUUAAGGAAGAUUUUGAAGAGGAGUUGUCCUUCUUCUUGAAGAACUCCUUUGUUUUCUUCUCAUCAUCGGUGUCGUAGUUCUUGCUCUUGCUUUUGCUUUGAUAGUUACCAGUAUCAUAUAUUUCACUAGCACGGAUUUCAGCUUCCCAGAGAGGGCAGUCUAAAAUGAAGUGUCCAGGCUUUUUGCACUUGAAGAAGGUGUAUUCUUCAGUAGGUUUUGAUGAAGAUUUUGAACCGCCAGAGUUGCUUGAACCUUUCUUCUGAACUAGCUUUUCUUGUGAAAAUGCUAGAAUCUUUUCGCGAUCAGCGCGAGAUCAUUGUUGAUCCUUUCAGGGUCAUCAGAAUCUUCUUCGACAUUUCCUUUGGAGGAAGAAUCGGCCAUAGCCUUGAGAGCAUGGCUUUUGUGAUGGUUUGAACCAUAUAGAUCUCUCUUCUCUUCUUCUUGUUCCUCGUGGGUGUUUAGUAUUUUCAUGAUAUCAGUAGAGUCGAGAUCUUUGAAAUCAACUCGUUCCCUGAUCAUUAGAACAAGUGUGUCGAAUGAACUAUCAAGUAAUCGGAGCAACUUCUUCACAACCUCAUGGUCAGUGAUGUCUUUGGCGCCGAGGCCUUGCAGCUCAUUUGCGAUGUCACUCAGGCCAUCGAAGGUUUGCUAACAGCUUUCAUUCCAAUGCGCUUGAACCAAUUGAACUUUGCUCGAAGAGUGUCAAUGCGAGCUUCUUUCUAAGUUGAAACACCUUCCUUUAUCUUCUCGAGAAUGUCUCUCAAUUCCUUCCAGUUUCACAUUAUCGAUAGCGAAGAAAUUGAACACGACAGAGAUGGCCACCAAUUUCACCUUUAGCUUGUGCAUCCAUCUGAAUGAGUUUCUUCUCGGCAUCAGUGGGGCUUGAGAUAUUUCAAUCGUGAAUCCAAAGUGCACCACAUUCCACAUGUCAUCGUUAAUGGUUUGGAGACGGAUCUUCAUCUUCUCCUUCCAAAAGGGCUAGUCUGUCCCAUUGAAUAUGGGAAUGUUGAGAUGCAACUUGUAGCUCAUUGAAGACAUACUUAAACUCCAAUGUUGUUAGACCAAAAUGAGCAGAGUCAGGGAGUACCUUGCUCUGAUACCAAUUGUAGGAACGAAAUACGUCUACCAGAGGGGGGUGAAUGGAAGCUUUAAAAUUUCUUCAAAAAUCUCAAAACUCUCGGAACCCAGUAGCGGAGCGAAUGAAAAACAAACUACAGCAAGCUAUAAUAAGUACCGAAUGAAAACUAAAACAUGCAUCGAGACAAAUCACAUGAAGGAAAACAUAUCAAAUGUAAACAUGGGUAGCAAAGGUAACCAGUGAUGCUCGAUGACGACAGGUUAUUUGUUCGACUAGUUCGUCCUUCUACACAAGGACUAUUUCUGGUUGGAGGGGUUGUGACUUAACACGAAAGAUAAACUCUCUUCACCCUAUUCUCCUCGACAAUUGGUUCGUCAACAAUGACGAUCACUCAUUAUAGAUACUUGAGGCGAUCUACGAACCUUUACAAGCUUCUUCUUUGAGAACCACAAUCACUUUUGGUCUUUGAAACAAUUGACACCUAACCGUCUUGAGAGUUUGCAGCUCUCAAGAGUAAUAGGCGAAGCAUACUAGACUUAGAUUCGAGUGAUGCGGAACCACUAUCUAAUUCUUUGGCUCUAUGUUUUUUCUCUCGGUGGAUAUUAAACUCAAAUCGCUCAGAGAGGGCAUUGCUCAAUAGUCUUACCAGAAUCAAAGGGAGUGGCCACCAACAAAGCCGGAGUGGGGUGGCUAUUUAUAGUCGCAACCUUCCUUGGAGGGAAAUGACCAUUCUGGACAGGCGGUCCAGCCAAUGGCCAACUUACAUGUUUAAAACGGUCGGAUUUUGGAGCAACAGUAACAUUUCUUGAGGAACAAGCAAUCUAACUCCUCGGUCUGAGGCUAAUUUCUCGCAUCAAAGAAGAUCACACAUUUUGCUAGCAAGUAUUUGCUCGGAACACAAACAGGUUUCUAUCGCAACUUUCAUAGGAUUUGAGUUUAGCAUCGGAGAAUCAAAGCUUCGAAUGCUACACCCCUCUUAAUAGUACGGUGGUCCUAUGACUCAAUAAAGAGAAGAAGAAGAAGGAAAUAAAUGUUACAUCUUCACUUCGUCUUCAAUCUCCUCGGACACAGUCAUCUUCCUCAGACAAGCACCGAACCAAUUGCUUCACUUCAGCAAUUUUUGAGGGGUCACUCUUGUUAUCAUAAUCUUUGGUGAUAACCUUCACUGCAGCGCAUGGAGAUUACCUUCGUCAUUUAACUCAAACUCCUCGUGAUCUCAGGGACUUGUUACUCUGUGUGCACUAGCAAACACAUAAGUCCCAUACUGUUUAUGUCAACAAACUCCUAAACAUAAGGGGCCUACCAUUGCACCAACAGCUACCAGGAAUUUUUUUCUGGAGGUAGGAGACGAAGUGGGAGAAAGGGAUAAGUGAGGGGGUCCCUAUGGGGCCCACCACCCACCAGCGUGCACCUAGAGGGGUAGACGCGCCCUGGUGCCUUGUUGGCACCUGGGGAAUCCCCCUGUGAUGGUUUUAGUGCCAAAAAUUCUUAAAUAUUCAAAAAAAAAUCAUGUAAAAAUUUCAGGUCAUUUUGAGCACUUUCAUUUUUGGGCACUUUUUUAUUGCACGGAUAAUCCAGAAAACGGGAUAUUCAUGGCAUUUUAUUGCAUUUAACUAAAAGUAAUAGAAAAUAUAAAGUGAGUGCAGAAGGUUGUGCCUACUAAAUUCAUUGACCACACGCCUCUCAAAAAUAAUACAUUAAUAAGGUUGAUCAAAUCUUAUUAACAACUACUCUCGAUUAGCAUGAAACCGAAGAAUCUUGUAAAACACUAGGUUACCUCAACGGGGAUUUGCAUCUCCCCAACAAUAACUGUCUCAUAUUUCCUUUUAACAGUAGGAAGGGGAAUUUAAAAACUUCCAAUAGUAAUUGUCAGAGUCUUUUCAAUAACAUGAAUACCAUUUACUUGAAAUUGUUUCUUCGUAAAGUGCACCUUAUGCUCAUUACCAUUGAUAUGAAAAGUGAUAUUGCUUUUGUUGCAAUCAAUAAUAGCCCUUCACUACUAGGGAAAACCUCAUACACAGAACUUUAGCAGUAGCGCGUGUCAAAAAACCACGCUAGUGCUAAGUAGCAGUAGCGCAUUGGCGUAAACCGCGCUACAGAUACAAUUGUAGCAGUAGCGUGCCUGAACAUAAAAGCGCUACUACUAAAAUUUCCACUGCUUAGUCGAUAGGCUACACAUAGUAGUAGCGAUCUACGGCGAACAGCGCUACCGCUACAUGCUUUGUAGCAGCGCGUUUACGCAGAAAGGCGCUACUGAUAAAGGAAAUACAAUUAAAUGGAAAGCAAAUAGAAAAGUAAAUGAAAAUGAAAGAAAUAGAAAAAGGAGAAAGGAAAAAAUGUAAAGAAAAAUAAAUGAAAAAGGGAAAAAAGAGAAAGGAGUAGCAGUAGCGCGUAUCGAGGAACGCGCUAUAGCUAACUUAGCAGUGGCGCAUGUUGGGGAUAUACAUAACAGGUAGGCCCACGAAGGGUCGGAAUAUCAUGAAGCAUGGGGUCCACACAACAUGUGGGUCCAGGUCAAUUUCAUACAGACACACUAUCCACUCGGACAAGCAGCAUACUAUCCACUCGACCAAGCAACAUAUCAUCCACUCGGAUGACGGUUCACCACUCGACCGUACGACUCACUCGGAUAUACGAAGACCAGCAGGCAGCAAGGCAGUCGGCAUCUUUCUAAUAGUGAGGGCUUAAUGGUGGGCUGGCAUUAUGGCAUUCAUACCCCACUUUGUAACGUAGGAGGUGAGGGGGUGGCGCACUCUAUAUAAGCCACCCCGACCACUAGACUGAGGGGGGCUCUUCUUCCACCUCUCUCUCUUUUCACCAUUAGUCUCAGGACUUAGCUCAGGCAUGGGGAUCCGUUCCUCUCUCUCACACACAUUGUAAUCUCCGGAUAUAUACUCAGAUAAAACAAAGCCUCUCCGGAGCACGAGACGUAGGGUUGUUAUCUCCACCGCGAGAGGCCCGAACUCGCUAAAACCACCGUGUCACCCAUAUGCAUCUCGAUAGAUCAUGCUCCGUUAUACUACCCCUAUUCUACUGUCAGACUUAGAACCACGACAGUUGGCGCCCACCAUGGGGCAUGGCGUCUAUCGAACCAUGGUGCAAAUGGUUUUUUCUUCAAUCUUCAACAGCAGAUCAGCUACCAUCGCCAGAGAAAUUGGCGCUUUGGUCAUCGCGCCAUUCGUACAAACAAAAGGAUCAGAUCAUUGUCAAAGGCAACCGCCGCAAACGGCCACCAACGCGGUCCGCUGCGUCUCCUCCGGCCUCGACGCUACCGUCGAGCUCCUGCAAACGGCCAGCGACGGGUCCGUCCCGUCGUCCCCGACCUCGUCUACGACUCCACCACCGAGCUCCUACACAUAGGCACCGGCGCAGUCCACCACGUCGUUUCCGCCCUCAUCUACGACGUUGACGGCGGCCCCUCACGCACGGCACUCCUCAACAGCGACUGCAAAAACGGUCCGGAUCUUCCCGGCGACCACGACAAGCGACCCGACUUCGCGAGAGGACAAGGCAUCCGUCAUCCGCGCCCGGUCGUAAUCUUUCCCUCUUCCUUUAAUUAAUACUUAUCCAUGCAUGCGUAGUUUUUUCCUCAAUCCUCUCGGCUGCAAGUUCAUUGGAUCGGUUAGGCACCCGUGCCAUUAACUGCGUACAUAAUGCGGCAGCCAAUGCAUGUCGUAACUACGACCAGCGCUGAACGCAUCCAUGCGUACGUAGUUUUUUCGUCGAUCUUCUCUGUUGCAUGUUCACCCAAUCGGUUAGGCUCCCACGCCAUUAACUGCGUACUUAACGCAGCAGCCGAUGCAUGCAUGCCGUGAAUGCAGCCAGUGGUGAAUGGGGGCUUAAUUUGUGGCAUGCAAAGACGAAACAUGCAGUCCGGUGCAACCAUAAUUGCAUGCUAAUACAUUUGCUGUUACUACUCUUCAAAAGCGCACACAAUUAGUACUCUGCGUUACAGUAUUAAUCUGUUGCCUGAAUGUUCGGGUAACAUGCAGGAUACACUCGGAUAAGGCUGGCCGUACCUCCACAUGCAUCGCAUCUAUCCGUCGUAACCGCCNNNNNNNNNNNNNNNNNNNNNNNNNNNNNNNNNNNNNNNNNNNNNNNNNNNNNNNNNNNNNNNNNNNNNNNNNNNNNNNNNNNNNNNNNNNNNNNNNNNNAUCCACUCGGAUGACGGUUCACCACUCGACCGUACGACUCACUCGGAUAUACGAAGACCAGCAGGCAGCAAGGCAGUCGGCAUCUUUCUAAUAGUGAGGGCUUAAUGGUGGGCUGGCAUUAUGGCAUUCAUACCCCACUUUGUAACGUAGGAGGUGAGGGGGUGGCGCACUCUAUAUAAGCCACCCCGACCACUAGACUAAGGGGGGCUCUUCUUCCACCUCUCUCUCUUUUCACCAUUAGUCUCAGGACUUAGCUCAGGCAUGGGGAUCCGUUCCUCUCUCUCACACACAUUGUAAUCUCCGGAUAUAUACUCAGAUAAAACAAAGCCUCUCCGGAGCACGAGACGUAGGGUUGUUAUCUCCACCGCGAGAGGCCCGAACUCGCUAAAACCACCGUGUCACCCAUAUGCAUCUCGAUAGAUCAUGCUCCGUUAUACUACCCCUAUUCUACUGUCAGACUUAGAACCACGACAGCGCACUUCCCGAAAAGCGCUACUGCUACUUCUGACUUAACCGCGCGGUUCGUUCUUCCCCAAGGCCACUUCCCCCAAAUCCCAACUCCUCCGCUGUCGCCGCCAUCACCCGUUGGCCGCCAUGCGCUCUCCCGUCGCUCUUCGCACACCCUCGACGCCGCCCCCGACCCCGGAUUUGACGCCGCCCCCGACCCCGACCUCGACGCCGCCCUCCGCCACGCGCCCGAGCCCCGACCCCGACCUCGACGCCGCCUGCCCCUCCAUCGCCGCAGGCACCCGAGGUGAGCACGCCUGCUCCUCCCCUUCCCCUACCUCUGCCUAGGGUUCUUCGAAUUUUAAUUGCAUCAAAUUAGUUAGGGUUCAUCUAUUGCAUCAAAUUUUGGAUUAUCCGCUACCACUUUCCACCCAUAGGUUCAUCAAAUUAGAUGGUAAUUAGGGCAGUAGUUCCUAGGUACUAAUUAGUUAGUAAGAACUAGGUACUAAUUAGGUACUAGUUUAUUUUUAUUUAUAGUAAGUUUAUUUUUAGUAAGAACUAGUUGAAUUAAUAGAACUAGUUGAAGAUGUCACAUUUGUUGUUAUUUUUUUAGUUAAAGCAAUUUUUCCCGCAUCGACGUCGACGAUGCCUAUCCCGCAUCCUCGUCGUCGACUCGGCGGAGGACACCUGCUUGACCAGAUGGGUCGUGUCCGGGACUGGGUUCCGCCGGGCUGGUACUGGGAGGCGCUACCUACCGGAGGCACAUCUUGGUGAGAAGUCACCCCGUCGUUGACCCGAACCUUCUUUGGUAGCGGUCGCAUGGGCCAGUGAUGGUCGAGGAGCUUGAGGACCCCGCGGAGGUGGUAUGUCACCGUGUAAGCGAGGAGGACGCGCACGUCCGUCGCUACUUGGUUGCGCUGGAGCACAGGUUCUCCAAUACCUGGCAGGUUCUCCAGGAAUCUCACUGGAGCUAUGAUCCUGUCAUGGUUCCUUCUCUUUGGGUGUCCACCGCCCGCGCCGAUACCCGUCGUUCGCUAGGGUUUUAGUUGUAUUAGUGAUGUUAUAUGUAUGAUACUAUUCGGGAUGUAUUAGUGAUAAUAUUCAAUGAUGUACGGACACAAUAGAUGAUUUACUUUUGCUUAUUGAAUGCAUGCUAAUUUGAAUACUUAUUUAUUUUACGAUUUGGUUUUGCUUAUUGAAUGCUCAUGUCAAUAUGAGUCCUAUAAGAUAUUUUGAAAUUUAUAUCUUGUGUUGCUCAAAUAGGAUAUGUGCUUGCCCAAGUGACGAGUCAUGUUUGCAGGUUACACCUCCAAGUGGCCUAUGUUUUGCCGGAGUGUUGAUUCAUUUCCGUUCUAGCAAAUUUCAGGCGCUCAAUAUGUCCUAUUUUAGCAAAGGUCAUGCCAGAUUUUUCCGUGAAUAUUGGCAUGACUUGUGCCAGAAUAUGUAGGAAAUAUCGAGUGCCCCGGAUUUGUGUGUUGAGUAUCCUGGUAGUUGUCUUCGAUCGAUUUUCAAUUAAUGUUUCAACUAUGAAUAUAGGAAAUAUCUUACGACGAAAAGGAUUUCGGUAUUUGCAAAUACUUCGAAGACGAGCGGCCUGUGCGACAGAAUCUUCCUAGAUGAUGAUAGGCGCUUCAACAUCAAGCUGGACGAGAACUUCGAAGUGGAUACAGUAAGUCACAACGACAAGUCUUUUGUCGUAAUUAAGCAUGACAUCUGCUUCAUUUGCUUCAACUUAUAAUUUAUUUAUUUUUACUAUUCUACUAGUGUAUCCCCUGCCAUGCAAGAGUUUUUGUCUUGGAUAAGAUAGGUUUCAGUCCUAUGAAAACUACUAUGGAGGUAAAGAGAGAUUUACUUGAAGACCGAGCAUGGUUAUACUUCCCACGCAAAAUUAUACAACGCAGACACCUACACCUAUUUUGAAUGCAAAACUUGGCAAGCACUAUUCAAGACUUAUCCAUUUGAGCGUGAUAUGGUUAUCACCUUUGAUAUUCAUCCGGAAGAUGAUAUUGAAGAUAAUAUCGACAUCUGGGUCGAUGUGCAGACGCCUCCAGUUAUACCAUUAUGUGAGUUUCUCAACCAUAUUUAUGUCUUUGCAAACUCCUAUCAUCAUCAAUGGAAAUAAGCUGUCAAUAGAAAUUAGUUUUCAACUAUUUUUGACAACUAAUUUCUAUUGACAGCUUAUUUCCAUUCAAGCAAACAUGUCCAGCACUUGGUAGACAGGACCUACUACUGUCCCGGGGCUGAACUAAACUGCGAGGAGAUAAGUUAUUAUGUUUCAUGGCUUGAGGAUCUUCAUACUGUCAAGACAAAUUAUUUUUCUGGACUUAAAAAUCUUAGUACUCAAAACAUGCGACCAAUAGUGUUCGUACUGAACUACGGUCACAUCUAUUUAGGAAAUAUGGCAAGAUUUUUACUAUUUGUCCUCAGUGCAUCUUUUGCAUACAUUAUUUUUUAAGCUAAACUUCAUUGCUAAGUAUGUUACUAUAUGAUGUUCUUCAACAGGGACUCCCGAUGAAUGUUGUGCCUCAUUGGAUCGAGACUAAAGGUCGCAUGAGAAUGGUUAGCUUACGGCCAAGACAUCCUACAAUGCACUUUAGUGCAUUCUGGAUUUCUAAAAGCGAGGAAUGCUUAAUAGUAAAAUACUGGAGCAAAAUUGUGAACGGUCGCAAAGAAGUACUAGGGGGCAGCAAUCAGAAGCGCAGCCCGCGAUUAGGAGACAGGUUCAUCUGCAUGCUCCAACAUGAUGAAGUAGGAGUGCUACACAUGUUUUAUGCUAUCUUACCUGAGAGAGAGCAGCAGGAGUGGUUAGCUAGCUAGAAAUGAGUUUGAAGAUGAUGAUGUGCUACACUAUGACUAUGAUGAUUAAAUAGCUAGUGUUGGUGGUAAUGACUAUGAUGAUUAUUAUUAGCUAGUGUUGGUGGUGAUUAUAUAGCUACCGCAACUAGUGUUGGUGGUGAUUAGCUAGCUAGAAUGAGUUUGAAGAUGAUGAUAUGCUACACUAUGACUAUGAUGAUUAAAUAGCUACUGUUGGUGGUAAUGACUAUGAUGCUGAUUAAAUAGCUUGUGCUGGCAGAUUAGAUUCAAGUGGAGGCAACAUGUGGUGCACAUCGAAAGUAUUACUAGUACAAACUAGAUCAAGUUUGGAUUAGUAGUAUACUUUUGACAUGCACCACAUGUUGCCUCCACUUGAACCUAAUCCACCUUCAUUUGACACACUGUUAUGGACAUAAUGAUAUAAGCCUCAUAAUUGGUAUUGUACCAAAAUUUGUACAACGGCGUAUAAAUACACUAAAAAUGAAAAAAAGAAUACUAGUAGCGAUGGAUAGUAAACACGCUGCUACUAGCUAGAUUAGCAGUAGCGCGGGAGUGAACACACGCUGCGGCUAUAUGUCUUAGCAAUAGCGCGUCUCGCACAUGCUACUGCUAAGUAAUAGCUGUAGCGCCUUACUAGUAGCGCAGUGUCCCACGCUACUAGUGGGCAUUAAACCCGCGCUACUACUAGGGUUUUCCCUAGUAGUGCUUGUACUGUUCAAAAAGGGCAUAUCAAGUAUAACAAAGUAUGUUAAGAUAGUAACAUUUGCAACUACAACGGGGCACAUCCUCACCAGACACUGAUAGGUAUGGCAGUUGAUUUGUCAGCCAUUUACAAUGAUAUUUCAGUGGGUGUGAGUUUACUCAAAUCAAGUCUUUUAUAUAAAGAGAAAUACAUAACACUAACACCGGCUCCUAAAUCACAUAAAGCAGUUUUGACAUAACUUCUUUAAUUGUAGCAUGGCAUAAUUGGUAUUCCUGGAUCUUCUAGUUUCUUAGGUACUCCAUCCUUAAAAGAGUAGUUUGCAAGCAUGUUUGGGAUUUCAGCUUCAGGUAUUUUUCUUUUAUUAAUGACAAUAUAUUUCAUAUAUUUAGCAUAAGGGGCCAUCUUUAAAAUAUCAGUCAAACGAGUACGUAAAAAGAGUAGCCUAAGCAUUUCAGCAAAGCGUUCAAAUUCUUCCUCAUCCUUUUUCUUAGAUGGUUUAUGUAACACCCUGAGAAUCAUGCUACAAUAAUCUUCCCCUAAUGGUGAUCAUGUCAUCAUGAUUAGUAUGAAAAUUACCACUUGUCCAAAAUCAAAGUCAAAUUCAAAUUUAAAUUGCAAGUGAAAUUAUUAUUUCUUCAAACUGUAAACUAAAAUGUUCACAUUACUCUAUAAAUUCCCCUGAUCUUUGUCAUGUUGAAACCAACUUAAUUUGACUCACAAAUAAAUUCCUAGGAAUUUAUUAAGUGGUCCAAAGGCAUUUAAUUUGGCCUUUUCAAAAUAAACAAAAAUUUCAACCUUUGCAAAUGCCCCAAAACUUUUUGUGCAGCCCUAGAAUAUUGCAUAGCAUUUUUGUGCUAUGUUUGAGCUCCAAAAAAAGUAAUUGUUGUCUAAACUAAAUAGGAAACAGUAGCAGUUUUAUUACAAAAAGAGAGAGGAGAAAUGACCCUAUGCCAAAAAAGAGAGGAGUAAUUGCUAUCUAAAAUGCCUUUUGAGGAGUAUCUGUUAAACAUUGUGUGUCACGGUAUGUGUAUAAACCGUGUUAGCUAGGUCAUGGCGUGUGUUGUACCAGUUAGCUUAGGUUAGGUUGUUGUGAUCUGAUCCUAGUAGUUAGCUUGGAGAUCAAUCCACACCUAACCUAAUCCUAACCUCCCUGUAAUCUUGCCGUCGGCCUCUGACCUUUAUUAACACGUAGCGCGCCCCUGCAAGAGCAUGUGCUUCCAGCCGUCGGCCUCGUUUACACCUAACCUAGGUCAUGUCUUCUUCCUCCUCCACUCCCGCCAUGGCCAUGCCUUCCCUCGCCUCCCUUGGCCACACCAUUAUGGAGAAGCUCACCCGUGAUAACUUCCUGGUGUGGAAGGUGCAAGUCCUUCCGCACAUCAGGGCUGCGGCGAUGAUGGGUUACCUCGACGGCUCGAUCAAGGAACCUGCUGCUAUCAUCGUCACCGAGAAGGAGAACACCGGUAAGAAGGAGAUCACCGAGACGCCGAACCCAGAGCACGCGAUCUGGGUCACCCAAGAUCAACAGGUGCUCACUUUUUUGCUUGCCUCAUUGUCUCACGAGGUUCUGAUGCAGGUCUCCAAGCACACCGCCGCCAUGGGCGUCUGGCAAGCCCUGGCCGAGAGCUUCUCCGCACAAUCCAGGGCGCGCCAGAUCCAGCUCUGAUCGGCAAUCGAAAACGCUCGCAAGGGCGACCUCUCUGCUUCCACCUACUUCACCAAGAUGACAGGGCUAGCAGAUGAGCUCGCUGCUACAGGAAAGCCCCUUGAUGAAGAUGAUGUCAUGUCACACAUCUUGGAGGGGCUCAUGCACGAGCCCGACUACAACGGGUUCGUCACCGCCAUCUCCACGCGUGCUGUCACCGAUCAACCGAUCGGCCUCAGCGAACUCUUCUCGAUGCUGCUCUCUGCGGAGUCCCGGAUCGCCGCUCAGCAUGCCGCCUACACCGCUCAUCACUCUGUCAACCUCGCUGCCAAAGGCGGGCGUGGCGGCUACGGCGGUGGACAUGGCGGUCAGGGUGGUGGACGCAUCGGCUACAACGGCAGCAACUACCCCGACAACUCGGGCAAUGGUAGUGGCGGUGGUGUGUCGCGCCAACAGGAUGGUGACAGCGGUGACCGCGAGCGCUGCCAAAUCAGCAACGGGGAAGGCCACGGUGCGUGGCGCUGCAGGAAACGGUUCGAUAAGAGCUACAACAACAACAACAACGUGCGCAACCCCGCAGGCAACGGCGGUGGUGGGCGCGGCGGAGGCGGCGGUAAUGGUGGCAACCCUCGCUCCGCCAACUCUGCUCACUCCUACUGCAUGAAUACCAACUGGUAUCUCGACACCGGCGCCACUGAUCACGUUACCAGCGAGUUGGAGAAGCUAGCCUUCCGUGAUCGCUACACCGGCACCGACCAAAUCCAUAGGGCGAGUGGGCAAGGUAUGGACAUAGCACAUAUUGGUCACUCAGUACUAUCUACUCCCUCUGGGUCCUUACACUUAAACAACAUUCUUCAUGCUCCUAGUGCCGACCAGAGUCUCCUUUCUGCCUAUAACCUUAUGCGAGAUAAUGAUGUGUUUAUUGAACUUCAUCCUAAAUUCUUUCUUGUCAAGGAUCAGGCUACCUGGAGAACAAUCCUUCAAAACAAGAGUAGAUGGGGCUUGUUCCCCGUGAUCGGAAGGCAAAGUGCCCCUCAACGCCAAGUUCUUGCUGCCAUCAAGCCAUCCACAUCUCGGUGGAAGAAGCGCCUAGGGCACCCUGCUUUUCUGAUAGUUCAAAAGAUUCUUCGCGACUUCAACCUUCCCAUUUCAAAUAAACAAGACCACCUCCUAGUGUGUGAUGCAUGUCAGAUGGCCAAGAACCAUCAGUUACCUUAUCCCGUUCAACUAGUGAAUCCACAGCUCCUUUAGAGCUUAUUUUUUCAGAUGUUUGGGGUCCUAGACCCAUCUCUGUAGGAAGAUAGAAAUACUAUGUCAGUUUUAUUGAUAAUUUUAGCAAGUUUAGCUGGAUAUAUUUGCUCAAAAAUAAAUCUGGUGUUUUCGAGAAAUUUCGUCUUUUCCAAGCUCACGUUGAACGUCUCUUUGAUUGUAAGAUCAUUGCCAUACAAACCGAUUGGGGUGGGGAGUAACAACGGUUGAACUCUUUUUUUAACGCAUUGGCAUCACACACCAUGUUUCUUGCCCACAUGCUCAUCAACAAAACGUCUCUGCAGAGUGAAAACAUAGACACAUCGUGGAAGCUGGCGCCCUUUCUUUACUUGCUCAUGCAUUCAUGCCACUCAAGUUUUGGGACGAAGCGUUCCUCACUGCGGUCUAUCUUAUAAAUCGUAUUCCCAGUAGAGUUAUCAAGAACCAAACUCCUUUAGAAUGACUCUUUGGCACUAAGCCCAACUACUCCUUUCUCUGCAUCUUUGGGUGUGCCGUCUGGCCAAACUUGCGCCCUUUCAACAAGCAUAAGCUUGAGUUUAGGUCCAAGCAAUGCGCCUUCCUAGGGUACAGUACCCUUCAUAAGGGCUACAAGUGUCUUGAUAUCUCCUCUGGUCGUGUUUAUGUUUCCCGUGAUGUUAUUUUUGAUGAGCAAGUUUUUCCCUUCGCAAGCCUCCACUCCAAUGUCGGUGCUCAACUUCGCAAAGAAUUGCUCCUUCUCCCCUCUCACCUUUUGCCAUCUUCUAACUUUGCUCAAGGAGGAGCUGAUUUUGCUGCUGACAAUAUGUCUUUGUCCAAUGCUAAUGACCCAGCUGAGAGUGUGCAGGAAACAGGACAGCCAAACAUUGAAGAUUUUGGUGAAAAUUCUUAUGAUUUUAUGCAGCACACUGAGAACUCUCAUGCAGCCACAGAAGAUCCACAGGUGGCCUCGGGAUCGGCGGCUGCAGCUGCGCCAGGCGAAUCAGCCGCGGGAUCCGCGUCUGCAGCAGCGCCAGGCGAAUCCUCGCCGAAAUCCGCGCCAACAGGCGGGUGGCCAGGUGGGUGCCCUGACUCGCUGUCUCCUGGUGGGCCAACCGGGCGCGCCCCCGCGGUGUCCCCGGCAUGGGAGGACGUGCGGUCCCCUGGCGGGCAGGCCGGGCGCAACCCACAUGGCCUCCAUGAGGCGGGGCGCGCGGACUCUGGCGCGGCGUGGUCCCCCUCUCUCCCCGUGGCCACUUCGGAACUGCCAAGUGGCAGUUCGUCACCGGCUGCCACACCAGAUCCCCCUGGGUCGCUGCAGGAGGGGGAUUCAGGAUCUUCUGUGUCUUCUGCGUCCGACUCCGUUGUCUCCUCUACGCAAAAUCGCCUACAAAUACAGCAAGCUCGACCAGCUCCACCUCCUCCUGCCCGAUCACAUACUAGGUCACAAAGUGGUAUUGCUAAACCCAAGGUAUAUAAAGAUGGUUGUGUUCGUUGGGGCUCUUUUUGUGCCACAGGUGAACCGAAGAAUUUGCAUGAUGCUCUCGGUGAUCCCAAGUGGAAGCAGGCCAUGGACGAAGAAUUUUCAGCACUCGUAGCAAACAAGACAUGGCGCCUGGUUCCACCGGUCAGAGGGAGGAACGUGAUUGACUGCAAAUGGGUGUACAAGGUAAAACGCAAAUCUGAUGGCACGAUUGACAGGUACAAGGCACGCCUUGUGGCCAAAGGCUUUAAGCAAAGGUACGGAAUUGAUUACGGGGAUACCUUUAGCCCUGUGGUAAAAGCUGCUACUAUCAGAUUGAUUCUUUUAGUUGCAAUAUCUAGAAAUUGGUGCAUGCGACAACUAGAUGUAAAGAACACGUUUUUGCAUGGUGUUCUGAAAGAAGAGGUGUUUAUGAGGCAGCCUCCUGGGUAUGAAAGUUCAGCUUUGCCACGACAUGUCUGCAAGCUUGAUAAAGCAAUCUAUGGUUUGAAACAAGCACCUCGACCUUGGUAUUAUCGUUUGUACUCCAAGUUGCAGUCUCUUGGUUUUUCUACUUCCAAGGGAGACACCUCAUUAUUCUUUUAUCAUCGGCAUGGAGUCACUAUUUUUAUGCUUAUUUACGUUGAUGAUAUUAUUGUCACCAGUUCCUCCUCUAGAGCAGUUGAAGCCCUUCUUAAGGAUCUGCGCAUGGAUUUUGCGCUCAAGGAUUUGGGCAACCUUCAUUUUUUUCUUGGGAUUGAGGUAAAGCAUGUUGCUAGUGGAAUUGUUUUGUCUUAAGAGAAAUAUGUACAAGAUAUCCUUGAGCGAGUGGGCAUGAAAGGCUGCAAGCCUUCUCCAACGCCUCUGUCUACUUCAGAGAAAUUGUCUCUUCAUGAUGGAGAGGUGUUUGGGGCCGAGGACUCCACGAGGUACAAGAGUGUUGUAGGAGCUCUGCAGUAUUUGACUUUAACCAGGCCAGAUAUUUGUUUUUCAGUUAACAAAGUUUGUCGGUUCCUUCAUGCUCCUACUAGUACUCAUUGUACAACAGUAAAAAGAAUUCUUUGGUAUUUUCAGGCAACCAAGAGUCAUGGUCUUAAACUUGCUAAGUCAGACUCUACACUUGUUAGUGCUUUUUCAGAUGCAGACUGGGCAGGUUGUCCUGAUGAUCGAAGAUCCACUAGAGGCUUUGCAGUGUUUUUUGGUGGUAAUUUGAUUUCUUGGAGUGCACGUAAGCAAGCUACUGUGUUUAGAUCGAGUACUGAAGCUGAGUACAAGGCCUUAGCAAAUGCCACUGCUGAGAUUAUUUGGGUACAGAAUUUGUUAACAGAGUUGGGCAUUUGUCACUCAUCUGCAGCGUCACUUUGGUGUGACAAUCUUAGUGCUACCUAUCUCUCUGUCAAUCCUGUUUUUUAUGCUAGGACGAAGCACAUUGAGAUUGAUUAUCAUUUCGUUCCUGAGAGGGUGGCUAACAAGCUCUUGAAUAUUCGGUUUUUCCUACGGGUGAUCAAGUGGCGGAUGGGUUUACUAAACCACUAUCACUGCGGCAGCUGGAGGUUUUCAGACACAAUCUCAACUUAGAUAGUUGUGAUUGAGGGGGAGUGUUAAACAUUGUAUGUCACGGUAUAUGUAUAAACCGUGUUAGCUAGGGCGUGGCGUGUGUUGUAACUAGUUAGGUUAGGUUGUUGUGAUCUGAUCCUAGUAGUUAGCUUGGAGAUCAAUCCACACCUAACCUAAUCCUAACCGCCGCCGGCCUCUGGCCUUUAUUAACACGUAGCACGCCCUGCAAGAGCAUGCGCUUCGAGCCUCGUUUACAGUAUCGACAUACUGAUACUUUCAUCUCAUCACCCAAGAACUCGUCACCCAAAAUCACACGAUUUUUCCAAUGUACUACCUCCGUUUGAGAACGUAAGAUGUUUUUGUUGGCUAGUUUAGCCUACAAAACCGUCUUAUAUUUUGAGACGAGGUAGUACUUCGUAAAAUUGGGACACACGUAUAAGAUUUAGUACUUAAGACUUGCACUUGAUAGCCAAAUUUCGUUUUCAAAUUCCCCAAUGAACACUGAUUAGCAGAACCGCGCCUUUCCCUUUGGCAACAAACUUUCACCCCGGGCAUGCAAAACACAAGCAGGUAUCCAAUCCCCAUUGUAUAUUUAUUCAAGAACAUCACUAAUUAAUGGUACAAAACAGCCAACUCCCAGCAGAGUGAGGUUACGGCGAGCAGAGCGGCGGCAACACCCAGCAAGGAGUACCCUGCGCCGGCGCCCCCUGCCGCGCCAUUGCCGGAGGAGCUGCCGUACUGGGCAUUGGCGCUCUCGAGAUGGAUGACCAGGCAGACGACGGCAAGAGGGGAGAGCGGUGGUCCAUCUUGAUGAUCUCGCUUUGCUUCUGAAGCCUGCUCGGUCGUGCCUAGGGAGAGGUGUAUAUAGAGGUGCAGACACGAUACGCUCUUGCACAAAGCAAACAGAGAGACAGAAAUUUGACUAGUUCUCUGAGGCUGGAGCUGAACCAAAGCUGCUAUGUUGGUUUUACAUAUUCGCCUGACAAUUCCUGAGGAAGGCGUGUUUCUGGCUGCAUCUCCAGUGACCGUGUCGAGAUUUCGCCUAUUUUCUGUGCGAGACCCAGGAGCUCAUUGACAAGGUCAGUUGCAGCUGGAAACCACCAUGUUGAUAGCAACCAUGACCAAAUCAAGAGCUGGCAGACCAAAUGAAUCAAGGAAUACAUUCACAACUGUUUCCGAUGCAGCUCUGCGCUUCGACUCAGCGAUCCAUCUGGUGUCGCAUCGAUCAAACACGCAAUCAUUGUGUGGUUGUUCCCAAUUGUGGCUUUUGAUCAUGUUCGGUCCAUCCCAAGUAGCUGCAUCCUCAAACAUGCCAGUGAAGUCGUCAGGUAGCGGUGUUAUGGAUUGCAGAGAACUCAGACCUGGAACAAACUAGACGGGAGAACACACGCACCACGUGAGGAGAUGGAAUAUGGCCUAGGCCUCCCGGCUGCAGAGAGGGCAAAGAUGCUGAUUUUGAAGCCUGUGUCGCUCCAGCAUAUCCUCUGUCUGGCAGCGGUUGGCGAAGAUCUUGCACUUCGCCGAUGCCCAGCCUUCCAAGAUUGGGCUAUUCCUUCAAACAGUGUCUUCAUAAGCAGAUUUAGCGGAGUAAACAAGGGCUGAGAAAUUACCAAAUUUAGUAAUCUUCGUCUCAUUGGCGGACUGGGCAUCGACGAGUAGAGUUAUACACCAGAAAGGAAUUAGCAACUUGUUACCGCACCUGCAAAGUUUAGCUCCAGGUAGCCUCGGCUUGGUACCACCAACCACUGAUAUAUAAAUACAUAUUGCCCGUGCUACUCACAGUUACAAAAAUUAAAUAUAAAGCGGGGCGAAAGCCUUUUUCGGACAUCCCGGUGCUCUGCUCGGGAGGAGUUUGGCAUAUUUCCAUGGGGUUUGAAACAGAAACGCCCCUCUCAAGUUCUAAACAGGCAAGUUCAAAAAGAACUUCUAAACAGGCGCCGGUCAGUUGUGACCGGAUAUUUUCAUUUUCUGUGCGCACGCUCAGGCUGAAUGUGCUCCCCACAUCUUCAGCUAGGAAAAUCCACUCAGGUUCUAGGGCAGAACACUGAAACUACAUCCACUCCCGCUCUAGCACACAACACUGAAACAACUUCCACAAAUAUACAAUAAAAAAACACCCUUCGUCCCAAAACGUAAGACGUUUAUUGACACUAUCAUAGUAUCAGAAAACGUCUUACAUUUCAGGACGGAGGGGGUAGAGUAUACGUGCUCCCUCCACUUUUAUCCGGGCUUGGGACCGGCUAUCCGGGCUUGGGACCGGCAUUGGCAGUGUUACGCACCCUCACCCCACCCCAUACAAUCGCUUCACACAUAAAUAGGCGACAAAUCUUAAGAGACGAUGACGAAACUGUAGAUGGAGAUGCAACAACUAAUGAAGGACCUACCAAGAUAGAUCAUUUUGCACACCAUAACAAAUAAGAAGAAUAUAACGCUAUGAAUACACAUCACAUCCGUUGACAAAACAAUUAGCUGUUCCUUAUCAAAACAAAUCACGAAAAAUAGAAGCUACCGUGAAGCAAAACUCAACUAAUCAAAUAGAAAGGACUGUAUUACACGUGAACAGAAGCAUAGCACAUAAAUAGCAAAUUCUCAUGCACUUCAGCUAAUAACUACACCCCAGAAUCAUCAUUUUGAACUUGUCAAAUAUAGCAAUUAUCAUGGAUAAGAAAGUUGCGGUUAAUUAGCACAACUAUUUCACUAAAGCCAACAUAGGUCAGCGUACACAAAUUAACACCUUGCAUCAUGACUGUACACGAUCAGACUAGAAAUUCAGUUAUGUACCAAAUAUGAGACAAUGCUAAUUCACAGUACACUAUCUAACAUAAAAGAAGAAAGCCAUACUCACAUCAACAAUGGAUAAGAAGUUGCUAUGAACAUAAAAUUAAAAUGUGUAGCCAGGUUGUACAACAGACGCAGCGAAAAGAAACUUAGAUGCAAUAACGAUGUACGAUGCUGCUGAUGAACCGACAAUAUAGGCACUAAAGUAGUCAAAAUCAAAGACAGAAAUAUGGGCAGACCUGAAUAUAUAUGGGAUACAAACAACCAGAAUUCAAGAUAUCUUAAAGUUAAUUAUACUCGUGCUCAUUUGCAGGGCAAGAUGAGAGAUUCUCAUGAGCAACAGCAAGUAGAACUAGUAAAAUCAAUAUAUGGGUAUGACUAUUUGGGAAAAAGGAGGAAAAUCACUAUUUCUCCGAAAUAGUUGGCUUAACUACAAAAAAGAAAAAGGAAAACUAGACACGUGCAUAACUAGACACAUACCGCCACCUAAAAAGGAAAACUAGAUACAUACCCCAACUCUCUAGAGAACAUCACAAAAACUCACAUAAAGCAAUCAAGUUCUCCCAAGUAUUUAAGAAUCCGGGUAUUGAAGUCAUACCAAACAAAGCAAAACAAAACAGUAUGUAACAUUUCCAGUGAUCUUGAAUGAGAAGGCGAGAAGGCCUCGUUUGAAGAAAACGGAUAAACAAAAAUUAAACAUAUUCCAAUCAAGAAAGAUAACAAUUACUUCAGGAACCUAAGAUAGGAAUUCUUCUAAGGCGUAAGCACUCCCAAACUUAUCCUAUUAAUUGAACAAUCAAGUAUUCUUAUUCAAAAAAUCCUCAACUAACAGAAACAAACUCCCACGAUUGUAAGGGAAAAUUCAACCAGGCAUAAAAGAAAUUCUGACAGGUCAUUAUGCACACUAAACACAAAUAUGCGCCAUGAAGGCUUACCCUAAAAAAAAAGAGCGCUACGAUUCUCGUUAAAACAAAAUCAUACAAAUAGAAGUUACACCAUCAUUUAAGAGGCAAGAUCCAAUAGUCCUGCACAAUUUCCUAUGCACAUAAAUAGCAAAAAUGUGGAUGCUAGAGAUAUAAACAAAGUGCACUAAAGCUAACAAAUACACCCAAGUCCCAAACCACAGCCAUAUUCAUCAUUUGAACUUGAAAUUAUGGACAAAACAGCAUUGCAGUUACAUCAAAAGGCAGAACUAUUAUCAGGUACAUUACUGUCCAAUAAACCUAACAUGAAUGUUUUCUUCAACUAGUUGUUAUUUUCAACAAAUCAAAAUGCCAUUGAAGCUUUAGAAAGAGGCCGACUCAAGUAAGCCAGACACAAAGUCAACAUGCAAAAAUAACACCUCACAGAAUGACAGCGUACACAAUCACACCAGAAAUUCAGCCAUGCACAAACUUUAGGACAACACAGAGUAAGAAAAGUUAAUGCACAGUGCACCGUCAUAGAAAAAAAAUGCCGUAUUGAACACAACACUACAACAACAUAACAUUAAUAAGCACGAGUCAAAAUGCUUGACCUAUUUGUACAACGUAGAAAGAUAUAUAUAGAAGAAAACGAAAUGUACAAAAAUCGCAUUUCAAAUAUAGCAUGGUACUAAUUAACCUACCAGAGCUACAAAAAGAAGCAAUAAUGGUAAUCAACUCUUACUUAUUUGCAAAAAUAUAGGCAUUAAAGCUUAGAAGAAAGAACAUGCUAACUGAAAUGUGAACUCAAAGACUUGAUUACGAUAUGGACUAAAAAUGACCUCACAAAAGUAAAAGGAUAUCUCAAACUUAUUACACCUAAUGAAUAAGAUGACUCUGAUGAGCAACACAAAGUACAGCUCAACAGCAUAUAAUAACAAUAAAAGAACUAGUGGCUUUAUAACCCUAAACUCCCUUCAAGUCACUAACCCUAAACUGUUACUUGAAUUCAUGGCAUAAGUUACAUUCAGAUUUUAUCUAAAUUCAUGACAAAUGUGUAAGUAGAUACAUGAAGUUUAAGCAAACAAGUAUUGAACAAAGAAUUUGAAAGCUGCAGAGUAGGACAUAACAGUGCCAGAAAGGUCAAAAUGCUUUCUACCACCAAUUUAUUAUCCAAAAAGAAAAACCAAAGAAGACAUGAAACAAAUUAGACUGCGUGCAAACCUGCUAUUUGAAUUCACAACAAACAUGUAACUAGAUACAUUAUGAUGUUUAACAACAAACAAGUAUGGAACAAGGAACUCCAACGCUGUGGCGUAACAAAUAACAGUGACAAAAGGGUCAAAAUGCCUACUGCUACCAAUUUUUAAUCAAAAACUAAAACAAAUCAGAUGAAAUAAAAAAUUAGACUCUACAAACACUUGUUAGACCAAGGUUAUAAAACAGGAAGCCAAUAUAAUUCAGAUUUAUCUGUUAAAUUACUUUGAUAUAUUUUUACAAGAAAUACUCACAAUUAUAUGCUGGAAACAAAAAAUCAAAUAAAAGCUACUGAGCCAAGUUAUUAUUAAUUAAAGUACAAUUCAAGGAAGGUGGUUAAGAAAUUUAUUAUAUAUAAACCUAGAGUCACACAAAGAUAAAAAUAACGGAAGUAGCAAACCAGACAAUGAAACAGUUGGAAGAAAAAACAUAAAGGAAAUGAAGUGACCCAUCAAGGAAAAGAAAAACAACAAGCAAAUUAAAAAAGUGAGGUAAACAUACUAUAUUAAGUCACAGUAUAAACAUAUUUAUAUGGAAGUCAAACUAUCUUAAGGAUUAAUUAUAGAACUUGCUCUUGAAUUUAGUUAAAGAAUGCAAACUACAUGCUUAAGAAAAUAAUAGUAUAGAUUGAAACAAUACAAACAUAACUAUAUUAUAUUAUCAUUCAAAAUGCAGCCGGAAAUGAGAACACACCAUCUGAAAAAAACGCUGUAUUGAACACAACAGUACAACAAGGUAACAUUAAUAAGCACGAGUCAAAAUGCUUGGCCUAUUUGUACAAAAAUACAAAAAUGAAAUGUACGAAAUUCGCAUUUCAGAUAUAGCAUUGUACUAAUUAACCCUACCAGAGCUACAAAAAGAAGCAAUGAUGGUAAUCAACUUUUACUUAAAUAUAGGCAUUAAAGCUUAGAAGAAAGAACAUGAAACUGAAAUGAGAAGUCAAAGAUUUGACUACGAUAUGGACUAAAAAUGACCGCACAAAAGUAAAAGGAUAUUUCAAACUUAUUACACCUAACCCUAAACUCCCUUCAAGUCAGUAACCCUAAACUGUUAUUUGAAUUCAUGGCAUGACUUACAUUCAAAUUUUAUCUGAAUUCAUGACGAAUGUGUAACUAGAUACAUGACGUUUAAGCAAACAAGUAUGAAACAAGGAAUUUGAAAGCUGCAGAGUAGGACAUAACAGAGCCAAAAAGGUCAAAAUGCUUUCUACCACCAAUUUAUUAUCCAAAAAGGAAAAACAUGUAACUAGAUACAUUAUGAUGAUACACAUGAAAUAAGUUAGACUGCAUGCAAACCUGCUAUUUGUAAUCACGACAAACAUGUAACUAGAUACAUUAUUAUGAUCAACAACAAACAAGUAUGGAACAAGGAACUCCAACGCUGUGGCGUAACAAAUAACAGUGACAAAAGGGUCAAAAUGCCUUCCGCUACCAAUAUUUAAUCAAAAACUAAAGCAAAUCAGAUGAAAUAAAUAAUUAGACUCUACAUACACUUGUUUGAAUUAUAUCCCAGGUUAUAAAACAGGAAGCCAAUAUGAGAUUAUUCACAUUCAUCUACUAAAUUACUUUGAUACAUUUUUAGAAGAAAUACUCACAAUUAUAUGCUGGAAACAAAAAAUCAAAUAAAAGCUACUGAACCAAGUUGUUAUUAAUUAAAGAACAAAUUGAGGGAGGUGGUUAAGAAACUUAUUAUAUAUAAACCUAGAGUCACACAAGAUAAAACUAACAGAAGUAGCAAACCAGACAGUGAAACGGUUGGAAGAAAAAACAUCUAGGAAAUGAAGUGACCCAUCAAGGAAAAGAAAAAUAACAUGCAAAUUAAAAAAUGAGGUAAAUAUACUAUAUUAAGUCACAGUACAAAUAUAUUUAUACGUUAGUCAAAAUAUCUUAAGGAUUAAUUAUAGAACUUGCUCUUAAAUUUAGUUAAAUGAAUGUCUAAAGAACAUAAUAGUAUAGAUAGUAUAGAAAGAAACAAUACAAACAUAACUAUAUUAUAUUAUCAUUCAAAAUGCAGCCGGAAAUGAGAACACACUAUCUGAAAACAACCUCGUUACGAAUUAAUUUCAGCAUUCACACUUUUCAGUAUACAGAUGAUAGGUAGAACUAGAAAAAAAAUCACUGAAAAGCACAGAACAACAUAGCGAACUACACUAAACAAACUGUACAUCAAGGUACAUAUGUCUAUGUGAACUUUACAUCAAUGAUGAAGCGCGCAAACAUAAGAUAAAGAGUAGGACAAAGUAGCUUUCUCAACGCGAGGGCAAUGAGUAAGGUAUGAGUUCAUAAAGGAUUAUAGACACAUCGCAUAAAGACUAAUACUAUAUCUUAAAGCGGUGCAACAUGGAUUGGGAACAAAGCUAAAACUCAGACCAAAACAGGACAACAAGUAGAGGCAUACCACGACUGACCAAACAUUUAUUGUUAACAAAGCUUGUAAUAAAAUUUUCAAGCAGAAAAAAGAAGGCAAGAAAACUCGAGAGCGAAAUUUUUAGACAUACAUGUAGCACAAGGAUAGCGUGAAAUUUACAAAUAGGAGAACAUAGGAGAACAAGAUUAUAGUAAACUAAGAACACAUCUGAAGCUUACCGACUUAUAAAUGACCACCAAGGUUGAGAAUUAAAACUAAGCUUAUGUAGAAGUUCACACCCUACAAUGUAUUUCAAGGUGAGACCUGUACUAACACCAACUUGGCUCAUAACAUCACUUUAACCUUGACAUAAACCAUAAAGAAAUUCAUGUGAACAGUGGUCAGAAGCAGCACUCUUGCAUAAAUAAUUUCAUCAGAUAGAAUCAUGGUUCUAUACCAAGCAAAAAGAAAUGAUUGUAGGAAUUGGAACACUGAAACAACGCAUACAUUAUUGAGAUUAUUCGAGAAGAUGGGUCAAAACUAGACAAGCACAACAGAAAUUUAAGAGUGGUUAGAGGAUAUGACUCAAUUAGUUAAUGAAUGAAUUGAUGAGACAUAGUAGACAAACAGAAGCCCGUAUCCAAGCACACAAGAAUAACAUCAGGUCAUAUACUUAUGUAAAAACUACAUGCCAUUUUCACCUUUCUAAUUGUGACCUUCUCCAUCAAAGAGGGAAAAAUGACAGCACAAUGGAUCAGUGACAAAUAAAAUUUCAAGUAAGCUGAAAACAGAUUAAAAUGUUCUAAUUUAGAAACCAAGGCGUCUAAAAAUUAUAGUACAUGUCAUGCUUAUCAUCUCAACCAAAUAAGUGGGGAAAGCAGAACCAAAGCAAAAGCAGUAUGUGUCAUGUUUAUAAUCUCAACCAAUUAAGGGGGGAAAGUUAANNNNNNNNNNNNNNNNNNNNNNNNNNNNNNNNNNNNNNNNNNNNNNNNNNNNNNNNNNNNNNNNNNNNNNNNNNNNNNNNNNNNNNNNNNNNNNNNNNNNNNNNNNNNNNNNNNNNNNNNNNNNNNNNNNNNNNNNNNNNNNNNNNNNNNNNNNNNNNNNNNNNNNNNNNNNNNNNNNNNNNNNNNNNNNNNNNNNNNNNNNNNNNNNNNNNNNNNNNNNNNNNNNNNNNNNNNNNNNNNNNNNNNNNUAAUUCACACUAACCAGGUAGGGAAAAUCCAAGAGUAAAAGCAGACUGUAAAUAAUGCAAACAUAUAAGACCAACACCUUCAAAUAUACUCAACACCGAACUACAAAAAAAAGCGAUAGUGCCACUCAUGAAUGAUGCGGAAUGAAGAUUAAAAACAAGCAACUAAUUUGAUUAUUAAAAGGAAUCUUGUGCAUGACUAAAGAGAGCAACCAAAAUGAAUACAAGCACUGAACAAGUUCAAAAUGUUAAUAGUGAUCUAUCUUAGAUUAGGAGAACUAUAGAAGUGGGAUGCUCUGAACAAUCUACGCUGAACUUGCACAUACGAACACAUAUAUAUUAUAUUAAUAUAGGCAAAAAAACAUCAAGCUAUGAAAUUCAGUUGCUAUUUUGUUGCAGCUUUUAUACACCCAACCAAACAACGACAGGCUAAAUGUAUGUCAUCCAUAUAUCAUUCAAUAAUUACACCAAUAACAUCAUACAAGAUGCAUAAUUGACAAUUAUGUACAACAUAAAACAUAACUUCCAUUAACAGAACAUGACUACAAAUUACAAUAAUAAUACUAAUUACCAAGCUAAGACUAAUCCAACACUGGCCGGAGCAUGUAAACCGGCAGAAGCCCAACAGAAUAUCCAUGCAGGAAAUCAACGGCACAAACUACAUAUCAGAAGGAUUGGUAGACCCCAACACAGUAAUCAGCAUCUGAAUAGACCUUGACGUGCCACCCGAGAAAAACACAGCAGGCAGUAAACUAGUUAAGCAGCCUUCUUCACAGUACUUGAACCUUCAAACAGAUUACUUUGAAAGCAAACCUCCAUGUUCUUUCAGGUCUUUUUAAGGUACUUCCCAAGAAAGUUCCAUCUAAAACGCGAACAAAACAAGCACCUCCGAUAUUCUUAGGGAUCUUGAAAAUAAAACAAACCAAAAGGUGACACCUAAAUAUAGCCACUGCAGGAUUACCUCCACCAUGAGCAUGUCCACAAAGUUGAAGAAAUAAAAAUCCCAGGUCUACCUUUAUAACACGGUACACAACAUAGCAAAAUCCCUUUCAUAUGGUCUGACAUGUAUAGGCUGCUAGGCGAAAGCAGAUAUAUCCGGAUAGGCCUAGCAAACCUUUUUGCAACUUCCUCUUCUAUCUCUUAUUGACUCUGACUUAAGUCAUGCAGGAACGGGAACAAAAGCAAGAAACCGCAGAAUUUUGACCGUCUCCCCAAACCGCUGUUUUUCAGCACGAAAAGAGAAAGCACUUUGCACGCAGAACCUUAUUGAAUCACCUUGUGCUCUGUGUCCCUUUAGGCCCCGUUUGAUAGCUCAACUUUUUCUAAGUAUUAUGAAAAUACUACAGUUUUUUAAAAUACCAUGGUUUUAAUUAUCGUGAGCUGUUUGGCAACAAUAAAAAACUGUAGUAUUGAAACUGUAGUAUUGUCAAAAC
rnacentral:lncRNA from 1 species